rnacentral:snoRNA from 1 species
UCCUCCUACAAAGGCGUACUUGCAUUGGAUUGCUUGCAAGUGCGUAAGAACUGGAGGCAUACUGAAAUGAAUGAUGAGCUUAUAAAUGCUUUCUGCGCUGGCAGUUAGUGAGUCAACAUUCAUACAUUU